UUUAUGGAAUCACAGUGGUUGGGUUCAUGGAAUCACAGUGGUUGGGUUUAUGGAAUCACAGUGGUUGGGUUUAUGGAAUCACAGUGGCUGGGUUUAUGGAAUCACAGUGGCUGGGUUUAUGGAAUCACAGUGGUUGGGUUUAUGGAAUCACAGUGGUUGGGUUUAUGGAAUCGCAGUGGUUGGGUUUAUGGAAUCACAGUGGUUGGGUUCAUGGAAUCGCAGUGGUUGGGUUGAAAGGAUUUGAAAGAUCAUUUCAUUCCACCCCUGCCAUGGGCAGGGAUACCUUCCACUGUCCCAGGGUAUUCCAGCCUGGCCUUGGGCACUUCCAGGGAUCCAGAGGCAGCCACAGCUUCUCUGGGAACUUGUGCCAGGGCCUCCUCACCCUUCCAGAGAAGGAUUUUCCCCGGUAUCUGCUGCAGGAAUCUUCCCCUCAGUGAACCCAGAGCGUGACACCAACGCUGUGCCCAUCUGCACCCUCCAAGCAGAACCAGCCCUUUCAGAACUUCAUUCCCAGUGGGAAUUUCCUGUUUAUUUCCUGUGGUGAUGUCUGAGCACCCAGCAGCGAGUAACUAAAACCUGAGCCACCUGUCACCAGGAGACGUGAGAAGAGCGACAAGCAGAACAAUAACUGGAAUUCAAUUGGAGAAUCCAGCCCCUCUCAGCAGGCACAAAGCGCCGGGCCCAGUCCGCGGCCUCUGGGGCCGAUGGCGGGUUUGUGUUGAACCUCAUCAAAGGGCAAUAAAGAAAUCAGUCAGUGGAGAAUUAAA